CAGCAGCCGCGGGAAUACGUAGGGUGCAAGCGUUAAUCGGAAUUACUGGGCGUAAAGCGUGCGCAGGCGGUUUUGUAAGACAGAGGUGAAAUCCCCGGGCUCAACCUGGGAACUGCCUUUGUGACUGCAAGGCUGGAGUGCGGCAGAGGGGGAUGGAAUUCCGCGUGUAGCAGUGAAAUGCGUAGAUAUGCGGAGGAACACCGAUGGCGAAGGCAAUCCCCUGGGCCUGCACUGACGCUCAUGCACGAAAGCGUGGGGAGCAAACAGGAUUAGAUACCCCCGUAGUCCCUGUCCCUUAUAC
rnacentral:rRNA from 1 species